UUCUUGAACUACCAAGUCAUCCUUACUUUGUUGGUGUCCAGUUUCAUCCUGAAUUCAAGUCGAGACCAGGAAAACCUUCCGCACUUUUCUUAGAGUGAGAUGAUGUCAGAAUCGCUUGACAAUGUCUUAGACGAUGAUGAGGCCGAAGAGGAAACUGAGGAACUGACUAACCAGGUUGCCUUCCGUACCAAAAUUUUGCAUCCAAACAUCAACAGUAACGGUAGCAUCUGCCUUGACAUUCUGAAGGAGCAGUGGAGCCCUGCUCUCAUAAUCUCUAAGGUGACUCAGUUCUUAAUCUGCCUUGCUUCUUUUCAGGUCUUCUUGUUUGUAGCAUAUUCAUUUUGCAUGGUUAAGAAAUAUCCAAUGUUUCAAUCAUUAAUAAUGAUAUUACCUGGCUCAAGGUAAUUCAUAUG